rnacentral:rRNA from 1 species
UACGUAGGGCGCAAGCGUUGUCCGGAAUCAUUGGGCGUAAAGCGCGCGUAGGCGGCCCGGUAAGUCCGUUGUGAAAGUCAAAGGCUCAACCUUUGAACGCCGAUGGAUACUGCCGGGCUAGAGUCCGGAAGAGGCGAGUGGAAUUCCUGGUGUAGUGGUGGAAUGCGCAGAUAUCAGGAGGAACACCAAUAGCGAAGGCAGCUCGCUGGGACGGUACUGACGCUGAGGCGCGAAAGCGUGGGGAGCGAACAGG